rnacentral:rRNA from 1 species
GGAGGAUCCGAGCGUNAUCCGGAUNUAUNGGGUNUAAAGGGAGCGUAGAUGGAUGNNUAAGCCAGUNGUGAAAGNUUGCGGCUCAACCGUAAAAUNGCAGUNGAUACUGGAUGUCUUGAGUGCAGUUGAGGCAGGCGGAAUUCGUGGUGUAGCGGUGAAAUGCUUAGAUAUCACGAAGAACUCCAAUNGCGAAGGCAGCUCACUGGAGCGCAACUGACGCUGAAGCUCGAAAGUGCGGGUAUCGAACAGGAUUAGAUACCCUGGUAGUCCGCACGGUAAACGAUGGAUGCCCGCUGUUGGUCUGAAUAAGUCAGCGGCCAGGCGAAAGCAUUAAGCAUCCCACCUGGGGAGU